UACGGAGGGUGCGAACGUUAAUCGGAAUCACUGGGCGUAAAGCGCGCGUAGGCGGUCUGUUAAGUGGGAUGUGAAAUCCCCGGGCUUAACCUGGGAACUGCAUUUGUGACUGCAUGGCUGGAGUGCGGCAGAGGGGGAUGGAAUUCCGCGUGUAGCGGUGAAAUGCGUAGAGAUGUGGAGGAACCCCAGUGGCGAAGGCGACUUUCUGGCCUAUAACUGACGCUGAGACGCGAAAGCGUGGGGAGCAAACAGG
rnacentral:rRNA from 1 species